CCCUAGUGGCUCAGUGGUAAAGAAUCUGCCUGCAAAGCAGGAGAUGAGGGUUCGAUCCCUGCAUCAGGGA
rnacentral:tRNA from 1 species